UGGCGGCCGUAGCGCGGUGGUCCCACCUGACCCCAUGCCGAACUCAGAAGUGAAACGCCGUAGCGCCGAUGGUAGUGUGGGGUCUCCCCAUGCGAGAGUAGGGAGCAG
rnacentral:rRNA from 1 species